AACGAACGCUGGCGGCAGGCCUAACACAUGCAAGUCGAGCGAGGACUUCGGUCCUAGCGGCGGACGGGUGAGUAACGCGUGGGAACGUGCCCUUUGCUUCGGAAUAGCCCUGGGAAACUGGGAGUAAUACCGGAUGAGCCCUUUGGGGGAAAGAUUUAUCGGCGAAGGAUCGGCCCGCGUUGGAUUAGGUAGUUGGUGGGGUAAUGGCCUACCAAGCCGACGAUCCAUAGCUGGUUUGAGAGGAUGAUCAGCCACACUGGGACUGAGACACGGCCCAGACUCCUACGGGAGGCAGCAGUGGGGAAUCUUAGACAAUGGGGGAAACCCUGAUCUAGCCAUGCCGCGGGAGCGAUGAAGGCCUUAGGGUUGUAAAGCUCUUUCAGCUGGGAAGAUAAUGACGGGACCAGCAGAAGAAGCCCCGGCUAACUCCGU
rnacentral:rRNA from 1 species